UAAUAAGAGUUUAAACUGUUU
rnacentral:piRNA from 1 species